rnacentral:lncRNA from 1 species
UGAAAACUGAUGAAAAGGAAAUGAUGCUGGCCUAACACGUUGAAAAUAAAAAAGAACAAAUAGCCAGCUCCUCACAUUGUCUAGGUUGACUCUGUUGUACAGGAAAUACAUGGUUUUCAGACAAUUUUUCUGUUCACAUGGAAGUUGCUCAUUUUGGGAAAGAUGCAAUUAGCAAUCCAAAGUUCAGUGUUUGUUCUCAACGAAAGUUAAUAGUACUCUUAUGAAAUGAUGUUAGAAAGCAAUCAGCACUCCAAUUUCAGAAUGUGUACUUCAUCCUUAAUAAUUAUUUGGAAGGUUAACUACAUGCAUGUUGUUUGGUGGGGGGUAAAGCGUUAUAUGUAUUGUUAUGUCUUUAUUGGAACGAACAACAUUUUUUUAUUUGCGUCCUCGAUAAUCAUUGGAGGCGUAGAAAACAGCUCCUUCCUUGAAAUGCCCAUAGAAUACUUGAAGUAUCUACGGAUUCACAAAUAUGGUACUAGGA